UCUCUCUCCCAGAAAUCAAUUAAAAAUAUAUAUAUAUUUUUAAAAAAAACAGGUAAAAAAGAAUAAAUAAAAUGUCAUUAAUGCAAUUAAGAACACCAAAGGUUGAGAUGGACACGAGGGAGGGGAAAGGGCCUGAUGGGAAAGCAGCCUUCAGGGUGGAGGGAAGGAGAAGGUUAUACAAAGAGGCGAGUGUGGCUCUGGCAGGAAGAGGACAGUAAAAGCUGCUGCUGAUCUCAUUGGGCCUUAAAAAAAUGAAGUACAAUCACAUGUGUUUAUGGUAACAUGUACUAUUAGUAGAUGUGCUUAAACUAAUGUCAAUAAAAAUUGGAUAUUCCUGAAAUCGCAUUAUGAUGUAGACAGAUUCCCCCAGCAAUAGACGUGAUUUGAUGUCUUGGUAACCGCAGCAUCGCCAACGGGCUGUAAAUGCCACAAGGCAGGCCCCAGGCCUCCCUCACCUCCCCGGUCCCAAGGAACAGAUUGUAAGUCAGCAGCAAAAUGUUCGGUUACCUUUUCUCGUGAAGGACAACUGUGCAUUAAGGAAAGGUCUGUGCUUUUCAAAACUGGCACGCAGAGAGAGGAAAGCCCGCGGGGAGAGAGACAGGAGAUCCAGGCGGCAGAGUGUCCCCUGAGAGCUCAGGGCACCUGUCACGGUGGCCCCUGUGCCAUUUCCCCGUCCCGGCCCCCGAGGAGGCGGGUCCAGGUGUGAGCGACACAUU